UACGAAGGGGGCUAGCGUUGCUCGGAAUCACUGGGCGUAAAGCGCACGUAGGCGGCUUUUUAAGUCAGGGGUGAAAUCCUGGAGCUCAACUCCAGAACUGCCUUUGAUACUGGGAAGCUUGAGUCCGGGAGAGGUGAGUGGAACUCCGAGUGUAGAGGUGAAAUUCGUAGAUAUUCGGAAGAACACCAGUGGCGAAGGCGGCAUCCUGGACCAACACUGACGCUGAACAGCGAAAGCCAGGGGAGCAAACGGG
rnacentral:rRNA from 1 species